UGAGAGUGUUUAUAGUGCUGUGAGUUUAACACUUCAUGACUGAGAGCAGAACACAACACAAUCUUCAUCAUCACACAAGACUCAACUACUACAAUGAACAACAUCCUCAUCCUCAUCUGGACAUUGCUGUGCUGUACUCAAGGCUCCAGUGGACAGAUCACAGUUACUCAAACUCCUGAAGUUCAAACAACUGAACUAGAAAAGACUGUAGUGAUGAGAUGCACCGCCAGCACUCCUUUAACAGGCUGCAGCCCAUCACCAUGUCUGUCCUGGUACUUACAGAAACCUGGAGAAGCUCCUAAACUCCUGAUAUAUUUAAUAAACAGCCUCCAGUCAGGAACUCCAUCUAGAUUCAGUGGAAGUGGAUCUGGGAGUGAUUUCUCUCUGACCAUCAGUGGAGUCCAGGCUGAAGAUACAGGAGAUUAUUACUGUCAGAGUUAUCACUACAUCAACAGUAAAGAUGUG